GGAUGCAACAGGGGAUUGAGGAGGUGACUAUAUUCCUCCAUAAGAAACUCCAUCACUCUCCCCAGAUGAAAGGUAGCAGAAUGUCAUGAUGCAGUGCACAAGGAAGAGUUGAAGUGUGACCUGGAUUUGAGGAAAACCAGUAAGCAGGGUGGCAUUUAGCCAAUUGUCAUUUUGCUUGAAGAUGUGGAAGGAACAUCAGAAAAGCUUCACAAGAAAGAAGAAAAAUAUGCCAGGUUUUGUCCAUUCUGGUGAGCCUUCCUGGACUUCAGAAAAAGAAGGAAAAAAAAAAAGAGUUCCAACAGUGGGAAACUCAAAUAUUUGUAACAUAAGGAGUUAUAAGUCCAUCCUCCACAGCAGACAGCUUGGAGCUAUCAGACCCCACUUCCUUGGCAUCCGGCCCAAAUGGCACAAUCGAGUCAUAUCAGUAUCCAUAUGGGGCAGAUUAUUCUUCAUUUGGGUGACUUUGAUGCAAAAAUAGACAAUAUCACACCUUCUGGUGUCAGGCUGCAGCACACAAUGCUUCCAUAUCCACCUCUUUACAAUCACACCAGUAAAUGUAUUUUUUUGGAAUGAAACAGGAGGGGAAAUGGUGAGACCCUUCAGUAGAUACCCUCUGUAUAUCCCAAGGUGCUACAGCUCCUAGGAGCCGUGCUAAUAAUUUUAAA